AUGCGGCGGUGUCGGGGCGCGGGGCUGGCGGCGCUGGCCGCGCUGCUGCUCGUUGCCGUGGCCAGAGCACAAGUACAACAGGAGCCGACACUGGAGACCACCGAGGGCACUGGAAUAAAUAUCAGCUGCUCACAUUCCGAAAUACAGACCAACGAUUGGAUCCAAUGGUACCGUCAGAUCCCGAGCAGAGGACCCGAAUUCCUCGUGAGCGCUCACAAAGGGGUCAGAGAGCUGCCGGACAUCGCAGGAAAGCUGUCGGUGUCGGCAGAUCGGCGAUGGAGCGCGCUGUGGCUCGGGCGGCCCCGGCGCGGGGACGCGGCCGUGUAUUACUGCGCGCUGGGCCACGGGCAGAGGAGCCGGGGCUGCGGCCGGGUUUUUAAAACCACCUUGGAUGUGAGUUCAGCAUCUGCCUGA